AGAGAGCGGGACGUUGGAUGCGCGAGUUUCUUGUUGUGUCUUUUUUAGUUCAAAAUAACAGUUUGGAUUUGAAUUAUCAAACAAUAAUUGUACAAAAUUUGAAGGCAUUGCAAGCGAUUCGAGAUUGGCCGAAGUCACUGCCGCCGCCAUUACGGAAUUUUCCCUCAGAACGGAGAGCGGGAAACUAACUACAAGUAUCAACUAAGCUAAGGCAUGCAUGGCUUUGGCAUCUUUAUCAUCGGAGGAACUUCUGAGGCUGAGCUUGAAUUAUCAGAGGAAGAGAAGAGAGAAUUCAAAAUGGAUUACCGAGCUGCUCUGGUUUUACUUCCUGUGAUAUUUCUGGAGAAAGUGGACAAUUUUGUCAAAAUUGGAAACGGAAAGGAUAAACCAGCUAGACCAUAUCCCACUUGACAGAUUUUGGGAAAGUAUGACUGGAAACAGGUCUUCAGUGAGAAGAGAAUCUUCAGCGCUGUGAAAUGGAGGGAUCUGAAAUUUGCCAAGCAGUUGGGGUCGAGGAUGAAGUUCUUUCUGGUUUUUGUGCACAACAGGAACACCCUGCUCUUUCUCCAGAGGCAUGUGUUGAAGGUAGUGACACUUGGUGACAAGUAGGGAUGAGCGAGUACAGCAUUAUCUGUAUCUGUAUCUGUUAACCAUAUGAAUUAUCUGUAUCCGUAUCUUUACUCGGACUGGGCGCGGCCUAACCAGGAAGUGGGCGGGAUUUAACCCGGAAAUUGGGCUGGGUUGUCUUGAGAUGGGCGGGGCUUUAAUCGGUAUGUUAUUUUAAGCAUGCAAUUGAUAUGGGUUGAUCGGAAAUUGUUAUAUUUAAUGCUGAUUAGAAAAAUAUUUACAUGACAGCAUCAGCAUUGAGCUUCAGAUCAAUGGUUUUGAUCACGAUGACAAACGAACUAUAUACAGAAUAAGGUUUGCAACAAUGAAUACAACACAUGCGGUUGCAAUUAUGAAGUAAAAUGUAAUGAACAAGAGUUUUCAUCUCAACAUAACUUUCUUUUUUUAACUUUUAAUUAAAAACUGAUUAGAGCCAGCUGACGGUUUAAAAAAGACAGCCAGAGACGCAACACGAGUCGCAUUCUACCAAGCACCACGUCUUAACAAACCCCACGUUUACCAAACUCUACUGGUUAAUAAGUAAGUACUACAAACCAAAAUAAAAAACAAACCUAAUACUGAAGAAACCCUAAACGUUAACGGAAAAGACCCGCAAACCUGAGUGACUGAGUGAGAAACGGAGAGAGAGCUGCGAACACAGUCAGCAACACAAUACAUCUGCAUGUGUGUAGGGGAGGGGCGCUGUGACUAGCCUAUCACAGAACGCAGACACAGUCAGCUACCCAAUGAGGAUUUUUAUUCAAUCCGAGCACAGAUAUUGACUCGUAUUACUCGUUUAAUACUCGUACUCGGCAAAAGUGCUUUAUCCGUACCGGAUACUCGUUUCAGCCGAGUAUCCGGCUCAACUCUAGUUACAAGUCAUUGCCAACUGCUGUUGUCAGAAUUAUUCAUCUUUUGUCCUAGACUCCGAGCAUGCCAUGGCCCUAUGCUUGUCCAAAGUCUUCACAUCUUUACUGCAGUAAAACUAAUUAAACAUAUAGGCUUGAUUCAUACUCAUUAGCCUAUUUUUUCAAUCUGCUGCAGACUUGAUGAGUGUCUGCGUUUCUUUUGCAAAAACAAGUCUGCUGUGCAUACAGAGGAAAUUCCAAUAUUCUUUCAGGUUAACAUUGUUGAUACUGUGUGGAAAACUGUUGCUUCCACAUUUGUUUGAUUCUCAUUUUCAUGCAUUUCAAGUGUUUCAUAUGACAAGGACUGGUUUUGUAUGAUGCAAGGAGAUUAACUGGACUACCUGGCACUUGACCUCCUAUAUGGUUGAUGUUGUUUUCUAUGUAGGAGGUAGAUAUUUGUAGUCACUUAACAGGUUUUUGUAGAAUUGUUACAAUGUUUUUUGGAUGUUUUUGCAUUAUACAUCGCAUUCGUUUGUAUUAGGAAUAAUUUAAGCUUUAAAAUGUUAAUGUUACGAUUGUAAUGUUGAUGGUAUAGUUCAGGCAAUAUUGACAAUUGUGUCAUCAUACACACAUCCUCAAGUUGAUCCAAACCUGUAUACAUAUCUUUGUUCUGGUGUACUCAAAGGAUGGUAUUUGAAAUAAUGUCAGUAACCAAACAGAUCUGGCCCAGCAUUCACAAUGAUGGUAUUUUUUUCUACUAUAUAGUCCAUGGUGGGAGAGACCUGUUUGGUUACCAACAUUCUUCCAAAUAUCUUACUUUGAGUACAGCCGAACAAAGAAAUGUAGCUUGUAUGUAGCUCAGUGGUAAGAGCAUGGUCGUGGGUUCGAUCCCAUGGUAUUGCACAUACUAAUAUAUAAAAUGUAUAGGAAAACGCAGUGUAAGUUGCUUUGGAUAAACGUGUCUGCCAAAUGCAUAAAUGUUAAUGUAUACAGCAGAAAAAAUAAAUGUAUACUGGUUUGGAUCCUCUUGAGGGUGAGAGAAUGACGACACAAUUCAUUUUUUUGUCUCAACCAUAACCUUAAUGACUGGUAUUGCACGAAAAGCGAUAUAAAAAAAUAUGAAUUUGAUAAAUUGUAUUGUGAAAAGUUAUUGACAAGUAUUAUAUUGUUGAUGGGAAAUUGUAUUUUACACUAAAUAUAUUCAUGUUUUAGUAAAAUGGUUUGCAUCCAAAGGAGAAAUGUUUUAAAAAUGUGAUUUUAUGUUUUUACUUUUUAUUGUAAAGUAGAUUCUACUGUAUGCUAAAGAACAGUGUUGGGUCAAACA